CCUACGGGUGGCUGCAGUGGGGAAUAUUGCACAAUGGGGGAAACCCUGAUGCAGCGACGCCGCGUGAAGGAAGAAGUAUUUCGGUAUGUAAACUUCUAUCAGCAGGGAAGAAAAUGACGGUACCUGACUAAGAAGCCCCGGCUAACUACGUGCAAGCAGCCGCGGUAAUCCGUAGGGGGCAAGCGUUAUCCGGAUUUACUGGGUGUAAAGGGAGCGUAGGCGGCGAUGCAAGUCAGAAGGGAAAGCCCGGGGCUCAACUCCGGGACUGCUUUUGAAACUGUGUUGCUAGAUUGCAGGAGAGGUAAGUGGAAUUCCUAGUGUAGCGGUGAAAUGCGUAGAUAUUAGGAGGAACACCAGUGGCGAAGGCGGCAUACUGGACUGUAAAUGACGCUGAGGCUCGAAAGCGUGGGGAGCAAACAGGAUUAGAUACCCCUGUAGUC
rnacentral:rRNA from 1 species